rnacentral:rRNA from 1 species
CUACGGGGGGCAGCAGUUAGGAAUAAUCUACAAUGCACGAAAGUGUGAUAGUUUGAGUCAAAGUGCGUUUCAAUUUGAAAUGCUUUUAUGGAAUGUAAAAAGUUCCACGAAUAAGGACUGGGUAAGACAGGUGCCAGCCGCCGCGGUAAUACCUGCGGUCCAAGUCGCAGCCAUUUUUAUUGGGUCUAAAACAUCCGUAUCUUGCUUGGUAAGUUUCUUGUGAAAUUCUAUAUCUUAAAUAUAGAGCGUGCAGGAAGUACUGCCAAGCUAGAGACUGGGAGACGUAAGAAGUACGUUUGAAGUAGCGGUAAAAUGUGUUAAUCUCAAGCGGACUCACAAUAGCGAAGGCAUCUUACGAGAACAGUUCUGACAGUAAGGGAUGAAGGCUAGGGGCGCAAAACGGAUUAGAUACCCCCGUAGUC